AUCUAUCUAUCUAUCUAUCUAUCUAUCUAUCUAUCUAUCUAGAUAUAGAUAGAUAGAUAGAUAGAUAGAUAGAUAGGUAAAU